UACGUAGGGUGCAAGCGUUAAUCGGAAUUACUGGGCGUAAAGCGUGCGCAGGCGGUUGUGCAAGACAGAUGUGAAAUCCCCGGGCUCAACCUGGGAACUGCAUUUGUGACUGCACGGCUAGAGUGUGUCAGAGGGGGGUAGAAUUCCACGUGUAGCAGUGAAAUGCGUAGAUAUGUGGAGGAAUACCGAUGGCGAAGGCAGCCCCUGGGAUAACACUGACGCUCAUGCACGAAAGCGUGGGGAGCAAACAGG
rnacentral:rRNA from 1 species